AUAAUGUCAUAUGAGUUUGGAUCGUCAUGAGUAUGUGAAUAAAUGAUGACCAAAUUUUGUGGGAACUAAGCCUUUAAUGUUCUGAAUUCUUUGCUUAACAGGAAAUAUAUGUUGGAAAUGUAUUGUUUGAAAGGACAGUUACACAUACAAAAUUGUUUAAUUCAGACCACAAACGAAACAAGCCAUUAAAGAUUGUUAUUCCAGGAUAACUGCCAAUUUCACACAAUAAGCAUGACCUACAUACACUGAAACCUAAGCAGUAACCACUUUACAGUAAAAAUCUAUAAGCUAUGACAUUUUUUAUAUUAUUGAUUUCAUUCCACUGCAUACAUCUUAUAGUUCCAUCACUGAAGUAACAUAACAGAGGAGAAAAGGUUUUUCUAUAUUAUCCAAACAUGACGUUUUUCAAUCCUUGCCACAGUUGCCCUCACACUACGGGUCUAAAGAUAUUAAGUAGUAUAUAUAGUUUAUAAGUAUUAUGCCAUAAUUUUCAGUUAAACUGCUUACAGCAGUGACACACAUCACCAAAUAAUGAUACGCCUUGUCACUGCACCAAAUUGUUAUAAAUUGCACAAAGCCUCACAGGUUUCAUGCUUCUCAAUAUUGACACAUAAUUAAUUCAUAAAUUGAAUGAACAAAUUAAUAAAUAAUAAUGAAUUUUAUAAUUAAUAUAAGUAUACCCAACUUUACUCAGAUACAUACAGUAUACUCCUGUUAAGCAGUACAUAGCAAAUCGCAGCUGCUUGAUUGCUUGUAAAACAUAAACUAUAAAACACAGCUUUAGUCUGCUAAAUGUGAUUAUAAGGCAUGAAGGCAUGAUAUUAAUAAAUAAUAAACACUGACAUCAUGAUUUUCUAUAAAGCUGCUUUAGAAUAAAGUUUAUUGUGUAAAGUACGGUACAAAUAAACUCGACCAUCAUCUACCAUUUUUUCUGUUUAUUACACACCUCAUAAUUUCUGAUGACAUCAUCAGUAAUCCAAAUGACAUGUUGAGAAUUUUGCAAUUGUACUUUAAUGUAUUUCCUAUCUUCUCCUCUGUGCACCUGUUUAGAUUUUGCAAACUGAGCUUAGGACAGUGUACAGAAAACACUUUGCUCUCCAUUUCCUGCCACUGUCUUCUUUGCCUUCUUCCCCUUCUUCAGCAAUUCUGAAACCUGAGCUCUAUCCUCAGUCUCACUAAUAUUGAGAACAUGAAACUGAUUUCUAAGUUUUGUCUGGAGGCCAUAGUCUUGGAUGUCCUGCUUUUGUUGUUCAUCCUUAACAGUGAAAAGAAUUAUGACCUUCUCCCACCAGCUCUCCUCAAAAAGCAUCUUAAAUUUAUUCUCUAUCUCUGGCUUCUUUUCACACUGCACUCCUGGUAUGACUAGUAGUAAAGCGUGAGGUCCCUGAGUAAAAGGACCAAUACAGACAUUUAUUUUUUAUUUUAUUUCAUCUGGGUUGAGCGCACAGCUGAACCAGUCAGGAUUAUCAUUACCAGUAAUCAUAGGACGUUGGUGUUUUGGUUCUUCGGUGGAGUUCACAUCAGUCUUAAUUUAAUGAUACAUUUCAAGUUUAGUUCUGAAAUUGACACAACACAGUACACACAUCAUGAUUGCUCUAAACAUGUUAUGGUUAGUGUUUGUUAGCUAGCCUAUAUAUUGCAAUGCU
ensembl:lncRNA